UACGUAGGGAGCGAGCGUUGUCCGAAGUUACUGGGCGUAAAGCGCGCGUAGGCGGGCUGUUAAGUGAGAGGUGAAAGGCUGGGGCUUAACCCCAUGCAGUGCCUCUCAUACUGGCGGUCUUGAGUGCGGCAGGGAGAAGUGGAAUGGCUGGUGUAGCGGUGAAAUGCGUAGAUAUCGUUUGGAACGCCAAAGGUGAAAACAGACAGCUGGGAGUGUGCUGACGCUGAGACACGAAAGCCAGGGGAGCGAACGGG
rnacentral:rRNA from 1 species